GCUUGGAGCUGGAGUUGAACCAGGGACCUUUGGACCACAGCGUUUCAGGAACUUCUUAAAGUCAUGUGCUCUACCAACUGAGCUAUGAAGGUGCUUAUAGAUAAAAACGCAGAAAACAUAGUGGCUUCGGCGACACACUUUGCCAAAACAACAAUCAAGCCACCUGGUCAAUGAAAAAGGAUGAACAGUGCAUAGACCAAUGAAAUCUGGUGUUUGGAGCAGGAGUUGAACCAGCGACCUUUGGACCACAGCGUUUCAGGAACUUCUUAAAGUCAUGUACUCUACCAACUGAACUAUGAAGGUGCUUAUAGAUAAAAACGCAGAAAACAUAGUGGCUUCGGCGACACACUUUGCCAACAUAACUAUUGAACCAACAUGGUCAAUGAAAAAAGUUGAACAGUGCAUACACCAAUGAUAUCUGGUGUUUGGAGCUGGAGUUGAACCAGCGUCCUUUGGACCACAGCGUUUCAGGAACUUCUUAAAGUCAUGUGCUCUACCAACUGAGCUAUGAAGGUGCUUAUAGAUAAAAACGCAGAAAACAUAGUGGCUUCGGCGACACACUUUGCCAACAAUACAAUUGGACCCACAUGGUCAAUGAAAAAGGUUGAACAGUGCUUAGACAAAUGAAAUCUGGUGUUUGGAGCAGGAGUUGAACCAGCGACCUUUGGACCACAGCGUUUCAGGAACUUCUUAAAGUCAUGUGCUCUACCAACUGAGCUAUGAAGGUGCUUAUAGAUAAAAACGCAGAAAACAUAGUGGCUUCGGCGACACACUUUGCCAAAACAACAAUCAAGCCACCUGGUCAAUGAAAAAGGAUGAACAGUGCAUAUACAAAUGAAAUCUGGUGCUUGGAGCUGGAGUUGAACCAGCGACCUUUGGACCACAGCGUUUCAGGAACUUCUUAAAGUCAUGUGCUCUACCAACUGAGCUAUGAAGGUGCUUAUAGAUAAAAACGCAGAAAACAUAGUGGCUUCGGCGACACACUUUGCCAACAUAACUAUUGAACCAACAUGGUCAAUGAAAAAGGUUGAACAGUGCAUAUACAAAUGACAACUGGAUGCUUGGAGCUGGAGUUGAACCAGCGACCUUUGGACCACAGCGUUUCAGGAACUUCUUAAACACAUGUGCUCUACCAACUGAGCUAUGAAGGUGCUUAUAGAUAAAAACGCAGAAAACAUAGUGGCUUCGGCGACACACUUUGCCAACACAAUAAUCAAGCCACCUGGUCAAUGAAAAAGGUUGAACAGUGCAUAGACCAAUGAAAUCUGGUGUUUGGAGCAGGAGUUGAACAAGCGACCUUUGGACCACAGCGUUUCAGGAACUUCUUAAAGUCAUGUGCUCUACCAACUGAGCUAUGAAGGUGCUUAUAGAUGAAAACGCAGAAAACAUAGUGGCUUCGGCGACACACUUUGCCAACACAACAAUCAAGCCACCUGGUCAAUGAAAAAGGUUGAACAGUGCAUAAAUCAAUGAAAUCUGGUGUUUGGAGCAGGAGUUGAACCAGCGACCUUUGGACCACAGCAUUUCAGGAACUUCUUAAAGUCAUGUGCUCUACCAACUGAGCUAUGAAGGUGCUUAUAGACACAAACGCAGAAAACAUAGUGGCUUUGGCGACACACUUUGCCAAAACAACAAUCAAGCCACCUGGUCAAUGAAAAAGGAUGAACAGUGCAUAUACAAAUGACAACUGGAUGCUUGGAGCUGGAGUUGAACCAGCGACCUUUGGACCACAGCGUUUCAGGAACUUCUUAAAGUCAUGUGCUCUACCAACUGAGCUAUGAAAGUGCUUAUAGAUAAAAACGCAGAAAACAUAGUGGCUUCGGCGACACACUUUGCCAAAACAACAAUCAAGCCACCUGGUCAAUGAAAAAGGAUGAACAGUGCAUAUACAAAUGACAACUGGAUGCUUGGAGCUGGAGUUGAACCAGCGACCUUUGGACCACAGCGUUUCAGGAACUUCUUAAAGUCAUGUGCUCUACCAACUGAGCUAUGAAGGUGCUUAUAGAUAAAAACGCAGAAAACAUAGUGGCUUCGGCGACACACUUUGCCAAAACAACAAUCAAGCCACCUGGUCAAUGAAAAAGGAUGAACAGUGCAUAUACAAAUGAAAUCUGGUGCUUGGAGCUGGAGUUGAACCAGCGACCUUUGGACCACAGCGUUUCAGGAACUUCUUAAACACAUGUGCUCUACCAACUGAGCUAUGAAGGUGCUUAUAGAUAAAAACGCAGAAAACAUAGUGGCUUCGGCGACACACUUUGCCAACACAAUAAUCAAGCCACCUGGUCAAUGAAAAAGGUUGAACAGUGCAUAGACCAAUGCAAUCUGGUGUUUGGAGCAGGAGUUGAACAAGCGACCUUUGGACCACAGCGUUUCAGGAACUUCUUAAAGUCAUGUGCUCUACCAACUGAGCUAUGAAGGUGCUUAUAGAUAAAAACGCAGAAAACAUAGUGGCUUCGGCGACACACUUUGCCAAAACAACAAUCAAGCCACCUGGUCAAUGAAAAAGGAUGAACAGUGCAUAGACUAAUGAAAUCUGGUGUUUGGAGCAGGAGUUGAACCAGCGAACUUUGGACCACAGCGUUUCGGGAACUUCUUAAAGUCAUGUGCUCUACCAACUGAGCUAUGAAGGUGCUUAUAGAUAAAAACGCAGAAAACAUAGUGGCUUCGGCGACACACUUUGCCAAAACAACAAUCAAGCCACCUGGUCAAUGAAAAAGGAUGAACAGUGCAUAUACAAAUGAAAUCUGGUGCUUGGAGCUGGAGUUGAACCAGGGACCUUUGGACCACAGCGUUUCAGGAACUUCUUAAAGUCAUGUGCUCUACCAACUGAGCUAUGAAGGUGCUUAUAGAUAAAAACGCAGAAAACAUAGUGGCUUCGGCGACACACUUUGCCAACAUAACUAUUGAACCAACAUGGUCAAUGAAAAAGGUUGAACAGUGCAUAUACAUAUGAAAUCUGGUGCUUGGAGCUGGAGUUGAACCAGGGACCUUUGGACCACAGCGUUUCAGGAACUUCUUACAGUCAUGUGCUCUACCAACUGAGCUAUGAAGGUGCUUAUAGACACAAACGCAGAAAACAUAGUGGCUUCGGCGACACACUUUGCCAACACAACAAUCAAGCCACCUGGUCAAUGAAAAAGGUUGAACAGUGCUUAGACCAAUGAAAUCUGGUGUUUGGAGCAGGAGUUGAACCAGCGACCUUUGGACCACAGCCUUACAGGAACUUCUUAAAGUCAUGUGCUCUAGCAACAGAGCUAUGAAGGUGCUUAUAGAUGAAAACGCAGAAAACAUAGUGGCUUCGGCGACACACUUUGCCAAAACAACAAUCAAGCCACCUGGUCAUUGAAAAAGGAUGAAAAGUGCAUAUACAAAUGAAAUCUGGUGAUUGGAGCUAGAUGAACCAAGGACCUUUGGACCACAGCGUUUCAGGAACUUCUUAAAGUCAUGUGCUCUACCAACUGAGCUAUGAAGGUGCUUAUAGAUGAAAACGCAGAAAACAUAGUGGCUUCGGCGACACACUUUGCCAACACAACAAUCAAGCCACCUGGUCAAUGAAAAAGGAUGAACAGUGCAUUGCAAAUGACAACUGGAUGCUUGGAGCUGGAGUUGAUCCAGCGACCUUUGGACCACAGCGUUUCAGGAACUUCUUAAAGUCAUGUGCUCUACCAACUGAGCUAUGAAGGUGCUUAUAGAUAAAAACGCAGAAAACAUAGUGGCUUCGGCGACACACUUUGCCAAAACAACAAUCAAGCCACCUGGUCAAUGAAAAAGGAUGAACAGUGCAUAUACCAAUGAAAUCUGGUGCUUGGAGCUGGAGUUGAACCAGCGUCCUUUGGACCACAGCGUUUAAGGAACUUCUUAAAGUCAUGUGCUCUACCAACUGAGCUAUGAAGGUGCUUAUAGAUAAAAACGCAGAAAACAUAGUGGCUUCGGCGACACACUUUGCCAAAACAACAAUCAAGCCACCUGGUCAAUGAAAAAGGAUGAACAGUGCGUAGACCAAUGAAAUGUGGUGUUUGGAGCAGGAGUUGAACCAGCGACCUUUGGACCACAGCGUUUCAGGAACUUCUUAAAGUCAUGUGCUCUACCAACUGAGCUAUGAAGGUGCUUAUAGAUAAAAACGCAGAAAACAUAGUGGCUUCGGCGACACACUUUGCCAAAACAACAAUCAAGCCACCUGGUCAAUGAAAAAGGAUGAACAGUGCAUAUACAAAUGAAAUCUGGUGCUUGGAGCUGGAGUUGAACCAGCGACCUUUGGACCACAGCGUUUCAGGAACUUCUUAAAGUCAUGUGCUCUACCAACUGAGCUAUGAAGGUGCUUAUAGACACAAACGAAGAAAACAUAGUGGCUUCGGUGACACACUUUGCCAACAAUACAAUUGGACCCACAUGGUCAAUGAAAAAGGUUGAACAGUGCAUACACCAAUGAAAUCUGGUGUUUGGAGCUGGAGUUGAACCAGCGUCCUUUGGACCACAGCGUUUCAGGAACUUCUUAAAGUCAUGUGCUCUACCAACUGAGCUAUGAAGGUGCUUAUAGAUAAAAACGCAGAAAACAUAGUGGCUUCGGCGACACACUUUGCCAACAUAACUAUUGAACCAACAUGGUCAAUGAAAAAGGUUGAACAGUGCAUACACCAAUGAAAUCUGGUGUUUGGAGCUGGAGUUGAACCAGCGUCCUUUGGACCAAAGCGUUUAAGGAACUUCUUAAAGUCAUGUGCUCUACCAACUGAGCUAUGAAGGUGCUUAUAGAUAAAAACGCAGAAAACAUAGUGGCUUCGGCGACACACUUUGCCAACAAUACAAUUGGACCCACAUGGUCAAUGAAAAAGGUUGAACAGUGCAUACACCAAUGAAAUGUGGUGUUUGGAGCUGGAGUUGAACCAGCGUCCUUUGGACCACAGCGUUUAAGGAACUUCUUAAAGUCAUGUGCUCUACCAACUGAGCUAUGAAGGUGCUUAUAGAUAAAAACGCAGAAAACAGUGGCUUCGGCGACACACUUUGCCAACAUAACUAUUGAACCAACAUGGUCAAUGAAAAAGGUUGAACAGUGCAUAUACAAAUGAAAUCUGGUGUUUGGAGCUGGAGUUGAAACAGCGACCUUUGGACCACAGCGUUUCAGGAACUUCUUAAAGUCAUGUGCUCUACCAACUGAGCUAUGAAGGUGCUUAUAGAUUAAAACGCAGAAAACAUAGUGGCUUCGGCGACACACUUUGCCAACAUAACUAUUGAACCAACAUGGUCAAUGAAAAAGGUUGAACAGUGCAUACACCAAUGAAAUCUGGUGUUUGGAGCUGGAGUUGAACCAGCGACCUUUGGACCACAGCGUUUUAGGAACUUCUUAAAGUCAUGUGCUCUACCAACUGAGCUAUGAAGGUGCUUAUAGAUAAACACGCAGAAAACAUAGUGGCUUCGGCGACACACUUUGCCAACAAUACAAUUGGACCCACAUGGUCAAUGAAAAAGGUUGAACAGUGCAUAUACAAAUGAAAUCUGGUGCUUGGAGCUGGAGUUGAACCAGGGACCUUUGGACCACAGCGUUUCAGGAACUUCUUACAGUCAUGUGCUCUACCAACUGAGCUAUGAAGGUGCUUACAGAUAAAAACGCAGAAAACAUAGUGGCUUCGGCGACACACUUUGCCAACACAACAAUCAAGCCACCUGGUCAAUGAAAAAGGUUGAACAGUGCAUAGACCAAUGAAAUCUGGUGUUUGGAGCAGGAGUUGAACCAGCGACCUUUGGACCACAGCGUUUCAGGAACUUCUUAAAGUCAUGUGCUCUACCAACUGAGCUAUGAAGGUGCUUAUAGACACAAACGCAGAAAACAUAGUGGCUUCGGCGACACACUUUGCCAACAUAACUAUUGAACCAACAUGGUCAAUGAAAAACGAUGAACAGUGCAUACACCAAUGAAAUCUGGUGUUUGGAGCUGGAGUUGAACCAGCGACCUUUGGACCACAGCGUUUAAGGAACUUCUUAAAGUCAUGUGCUCUACCAACUGAGCUAUGAAGGUGCUUAUAGAUAAAAACGCAGAAAACAUAGUGGCUUCGGCGACACACUUUGCCAACAUAACUAUUGAACCAACAUGGUCAAUGAAAAAGGUUGAACAGUGCAUAUACAAAUGAAAUCUGGUGCUUGGAGCUGGAGUUGAACCAGGGACCUUUGGACCACAGCGUUUCAGGAACUUCUUACAGUCAUGUGCUCUACCAACUGAGCUAUGAAGGUGCUUAUAGACACAAACGCAGAAAACAUAGUGGCUUCGGCGACACACUUUGCCAACACAACAAUCAAGCCACCUGGUCAAUGAAAAAGGUUGAACAGUGCUUAGACCAAUGAAAUCUGGUGUUUGGAGCAGGAGUUGAACCAGCGACCUUUGGACCACAGCCUUACAGGAACUUCUUAAAGUCAUGUGCUCUAGCAACAGAGCUAUGAAGGUGCUUAUAGAUGAAAACGCAGAAAACAUAGUGGCUUCGGCGACACACUUUGCCAAAACAACAAUCAAGCCACCUGGUCAUUGAAAAAGGAUGAAAAGUGCAUAUACAAAUGAAAUCUGGUGAUUGGAGCUAGAUGAACCAAGGACCUUUGGACCACAGCGUUUCAGGAACUUCUUAAAGUCAUGUGCUCUACCAACUGAGCUAUGAAGGUGCUUAUAGAUGAAAACGCAGAAAACAUAGUGGCUUCGGCGACACACUUUGCCAACACAACAAUCAAGCCACCUGGUCAAUGAAAAAGGAUGAACAGUGCAUUGCAAAUGACAACUGGAUGCUUGGAGCUGGAGUUGAACCAGCGACCUUUGGACCACAGCGUUUCAGGAACUUCUUAAAGUCAUGUGCUCUACCAACUGAGCUAUGAAGGUGCUUAUAGAUAAAAACGCAGAAAACAUAGUGGCUUCGGCGACACACUUUGCCAAAACAACAAUCAAGCCACCUGGUCAAUGAAAAAGGAUGAACAGUGCAUAUACCAAUGAAAUCUGGUGCUUGGAGCUGGAGUUGAACCAGCGUCCUUUGGACCACAGCGUUUAAGGAACUUCUUAAAGUCAUGUGCUCUACCAACUGAGCUAUGAAGGUGCUUAUAGAUAAAAACGCAGAAAACAUAGUGGCUUCGGCGACACACUUUGCCAAAACAACAAUCAAGCCACCUGGUCAAUGAAAAAGGAUGAACAGUGCGUAGACCAAUGAAAUGUGGUGUUUGGAGCAGGAGUUGAACCAGCGACCUUUGGACCACAGCGUUUCAGGAACUUCUUAAAGUCAUGUGCUCUACCAACUGAGCUAUGAAGGUGCUUAUAGAUAAAAACGCAGAAAACAUAGUGGCUUCGGCGACACACUUUGCCAAAACAACAAUCAAGCCACCUGGUCAAUGAAAAAGGAUGAACAGUGCAUAUACAAAUGAAAUCUGGUGCUUGGAGCUGGAGUUGAACCAGCGACCUUUGGACCACAGCGUUUCAGGAACUUCUUAAAGUCAUGUGCUCUACCAACUGAGCUAUGAAGGUGCUUAUAGACACAAACGAAGAAAACAUAGUGGCUUCGGUGACACACUUUGCCAACAAUACAAUUGGACCCACAUGGUCAAUGAAAAAGGUUGAACAGUGCAUACACCAAUGAAAUCUGGUGUUUGGAGCUGGAGUUGAACCAGCGUCCUUUGGACCACAGCGUUUCAGGAACUUCUUAAAGUCAUGUGCUCUACCAACUGAGCUAUGAAGGUGCUUAUAGAUAAAAACGCAGAAAACAUAGUGGCUUCGGCGACACACUUUGCCAACAUAACUAUUGAACCAACAUGGUCAAUGAAAAAGGUUGAACAGUGCAUACACCAAUGAAAUCUGGUGUUUGGAGCUGGAGUUGAACCAGCGUCCUUUGGACCAAAGCGUUUAAGGAACUUCUUAAAGUCAUGUGCUCUACCAACUGAGCUAUGAAGGUGCUUAUAGAUAAAAACGCAGAAAACAUAGUGGCUUCGGCGACACACUUUGCCAACAAUACAAUUGGACCCACAUGGUCAAUGAAAAAGGUUGAACAGUGCAUACACCAAUGAAAUGUGGUGUUUGGAGCUGGAGUUGAACCAGCGUCCUUUGGACCACAGCGUUUAAGGAACUUCUUAAAGUCAUGUGCUCUACCAACUGAGCUAUGAAGGUGCUUAUAGAUAAAAACGCAGAAAACAGUGGCUUCGGCGACACACUUUGCCAACAUAACUAUUGAAGCAACAUGGUCAAUGAAAAAGGUUGAACAGUGCAUAUACAAAUGAAAUCUGGUGUUUGGAGCUGGAGUUGAAACAGCGACCUUUGGACCACAGCGUUUCAGGAACUUCUUAAAGUCAUGUGCUCUACCAACUGAGCUAUGAAGGUGCUUAUAGAUUAAAACGCAGAAAACAUAGUGGCUUCGGCGACACACUUUGCCAACAUAACUAUUGAACCAACAUGGUCAAUGAAAAAGGUUGAACAGUGCAUACACCAAUGAAAUCUGGUGUUUGGAGCUGGAGUUGAACCAGCGACCUUUGGACCACAGCGUUUUAGGAACUUCUUAAAGUCAUGUGCUCUACCAACUGAGCUAUGAAGGUGCUUAUAGAUAAACACGCAGAAAACAUAGUGGCUUCGGCGACACACUUUGCCAACAAUACAAUUGGACCCACAUGGUCAAUGAAAAAGGUUGAACAGUGCAUAUACAAAUGAAAUCUGGUGCUUGGAGCAGGAGUUGAACCAGGGACCUUUGGACCACAGCGUUUCAGGAACUUCUUACAGUCAUGUGCUCUACCAACUGAGCUAUGAAGGUGCUUAUAGAUAAAAACGCAGAAAACAUAGUGGCUUCGGCGACACACUUUGCCAACACAACAAUCAAGCCACCUGGUCAAUGAAAAAGGUUGAACAGUGCAUAGACCAAUGAAAUCUGGUGUUUGGAGCAGGAGUUGAACCAGCGACCUUUGGACCACAGCGUUUCAGGAACUUCUUAAAGUCAUGUGCUCUACCAACUGAGCUAUGAAGGUGCUUAUAGACACAAACGCAGAAAACAUAGUGGCUUCGGCGACACACUUUGCCAACAUAACUAUUGAACCAACAUGGUCAAUGAAAAACGAUGAACAGUGCAUACACCAAUGAAAUCUGGUGUUUGGAGCUGGAGUUGAACCAGCGACCUUUGGACCACAGCGUUUAAGGAACUUCUUAAAGUCAUGUGCUCUACCAACUGAGCUAUGAAGGUGCUUAUAGAUAAAAACGCAGAAAACAUAGUGGCUUCGGCGACACACUUUGCCAACAAUACAAUUGGACCCACAUGGUCAAUGAAAAAGGUUGAACAGUGCUUAGACAAAUGAAAUCUGGUGUUUGGAGCAGGAGUUGAACCAGCGACCUUUGGACCACAGCGUUUCGGGAACUUCUUAAAGUCAUGUGCUCUACCAACUGAGCUAUGAAGGUGCUUAUAGACACAAACGCAGAAAACAUAGUGGCUUUGGCGACACACUUUGCCAAAACAACAAUCAAGCCACCUGGUCAAUGAAAAAGGAUGAACAGUGCAUAUACAAAUGACAACUGGAUGCUUGGAGCUGGAGUUGAACCAGCGACCUUUGGACCACAGCGUUUCAGGAACUUCUUAAAGUCAUGUGCUCUACCAACUGAGCUAUGAAAGUGCUUAUAGAUAAAAACGCAGAAAACAUAGUGGCUUCGGCGACACACUUUGCCAAAACAACAAUCAAGCCACCUGGUCAAUGAAAAAGGAUGAACAGUGCAUAUACAAAUGACAACUGGAUGCUUGGAGCUGGAGUUGAACCAGCGACCUUUGGACCACAGCGUUUCAGGAACUUCUUAAAGUCAUGUGCUCUACCAACUGAGCUAUGAAGGUGCUUAUAGAUAAAAACGCAGAAAACAUAGUGGCUUCGGCGACACACUUUGCCAAAACAACAAUCAAGCCACCUGGUCAAUGAAAAAGGAUGAACAGUGCAUAGACUAAUGAAAUCUGGUGUUUGGAGCAGGAGUUGAACCAGCGAACUUUGGACCACAGCGUUUCGGGAACUUCUUAAAGUCAUGUGCUCUACCAACUGAGCUAUGAAGGUGCUUAUAGAUAAAAACGCAGAAAACAUAGUGGCUUCGGCGACACACUUUGCCAAAACAACAAUCAAGCCACCUGGUCAAUGAAAAAGGAUGAACAGUGCAUAUACAAAUGAAAUCUGGUGCUUGGAGCUGGAGUUGAACCAGGGACCUUUGGACCACAGCGUUUCAGGAACUUCUUAAAGUCAUGUGCUCUACCAACUGAGCUAUGAAGGUGCUUAUAGAUAAAAACGCAGAAAACAUAGUGGCUUCGGCGACACACUUUGCCAACAUAACUAUUGAACCAACAUGGUCAAUGAAAAAGGUUGAACAGUGCAUAUACAUAUGAAAUCUGGUGCUUGGAGCUGGAGUUGAACCAGGGACCUUUGGACCACAGCGUUUCAGGAACUUCUUACAGUCAUGUGCUCUACCAACUGAGCUAUGAAGGUGCUUAUAGACACAAACGCAGAAAACAUAGUGGCUUCGGCGACACACUUUGCCAACACAACAAUCAAGCCACCUGGUCAAUGAAAAAGGUUGAACAGUGCUUAGACCAAUGAAAUCUGGUGUUUGGAGCAGGAGUUGAACCAGCGACCUUUGGACCACAGCCUUACAGGAACUUCUUAAAGUCAUGUGCUCUAGCAACAGAGCUAUGAAGGUGCUUAUAGAUGAAAACGCAGAAAACAUAGUGGCUUCGGCGACACACUUUGCCAAAACAACAAUCAAGCCACCUGGUCAUUGAAAAAGGAUGAACAGUGCAUAUACAAAUGAAAUCUGGUGAUUGGAGCUAGAUGAACCAGGGACCUUUGGACCACAGCGUUUCAGGAACUUCUUAAAGUCAUGUGCUCUACCAACUGAGCUAUGAAGGUGCUUAUAGAUGAAAACGCAGAAAACAUAGUGGCUUCGGCGACACACUUUGCCAACACAACAAUCAAGCCACCUGGUCAAUGAAAAAGGAUGAACAGUGCAUUGCAAAUGACAACUGGAUGCUUGGAGCUGGAGUUGAUCCAGCGACCUUUGGACCACAGCGUUUCA